GUCAUGGAAGGUGCCAUGCAACAUAUGCGCAAAACGUCACAAUAAUCACAUGACUACCGUCGGCACAGGACUUGGAGGCAUUCGGACCAGCGUUGGUUUCGGAAAUGGCCAAAGCCAAAGGAAAGCCGGUUGUGUUGAAGAAAGCGUCUACGACUUCGGUGUCGUCGGAGGAGUGUGACGCCCCAGAAAUACUUCUCAACACCAUUGCUCUGCGACGUACACCGGCGAGACACAACCUCGUCAUCAUCACAAAGGAUGACGACACGGACGAGGAGAAAGAGGAACAGGAUGAGAAGAAGGAGAAGUAAAUCAGUACAGGGAGGGAGAACCUAAAGAUCUGACGAUGUUAGCUGUAAUACGAGCAUAAUCAAUAAGUGCAGAUAAAAAUGACAAUUAUAAUGUAGCAUCACAACAUUGUUUAAAUCCUGUUUAUUUUUAUCUCAGCGAAACAUGUAUAAUACCAAUAGAGUAAAGUAUUGUCAUCCAAA